CUCAGCGGUCCGGGGCCAAUGGUGUCUGAUGAGGUUUCAGAGUGGUGGUGGGGGUCCGGAGCCAACAGCCAACCAAGAACUCUUGAGACAUCUUGGAUGCAAAAAGCUUUAGAUGUUGAAGAUGACUUCCUACGCCAGCAGGGGGCGCUGGCCUCACACAAGCGGCUGGAGCCCUCUCCUGCUGGGGCUGACACCUGACCGCUCGCCCCAGUCUCCAAGACACCCUCCGGUCUCUUCAUUUCCACUCACAAAAAUACACGAUAAGACCCAGUUCCUGGAAGAAUGAUCUUUGCAAAUUAAGUUAUCGUGAGUUAUGUGAACCCCCAACCUGCAAGAGCCAAGGCUAGACUGGCUGUCUGCCUCCUGCCCUUUGCUUCCCACUUAAAAAUCCAAGUCACCAUGAA